rnacentral:rRNA from 1 species
UGGCUCAGAUUGAACGCUAGCGGGAUGCCUUACACAUGCAAGUCGAACGGCAGCACGGACUUCGGUCUGGUGGCGAGUGGCGAACGGGUGAGUAAUGUAUCGGAACGUGCCUAGUAGCGGGGGAUAACUACGCGAAAGCGUAGCUAAUACCGCAUACGCCCUACGGGGGAAAGCAGGGGAUCGCAAGACCUUGCACUAUUAGAGCGGCCGAUAUCGGAUUAGCUAGUUGGUGGGGUAACGGCUCACCAAGGCGACGAUCCGUAGCUGGUUUGAGAGGACGACCAGCCACACUGGGACUGAGACACGGCCCAGACUCCUACGGGAGGCAGCAGUGGGGAAUUUUGGACAAUGGGGGAAACCCUGAUCCAGCCAUCCCGCGUGUGCGAUGAAGGCCUUCGGGUUGUAAAGCACUUUUGGCAGGAAAGAAACGUUCCGGGUUAAUACCCCGGGAAACUGACGGUACCUGCAGAAUAAGCACCGGCUAACUACGUGCCAGCAGCCGCGGUAAUACGUAGGGUGCAAGCGUUAAUCGGAAUUACUGGGCGUAAAGCGUGCGCAGGCGGUUCGGAAAGAAAGAUGUGAAAUCCCAGAGCUUAACUUUGGAACUGCAUUUUUAACUACCGAGCUAGAGUGUGUCAGAGGGAGGUGGAAUUCCGCGUGUAGCAGUGAAAUGCGUAGAUAUGCGGAGGAACACCGAUGGCGAAGGCAGCCUCCUGGGAUAACACUGACGC